rnacentral:rRNA from 1 species
AAUAGAUACCCCGGUAGUCCACGCCGUAAACGAUGAGUGCUAAGUGUUAGAGGGUUUCCGCCCUUUAGUGCUGCAGCUAACGCAUUAAGCACUCCGCCUGGGGAGUACGGUCGCAAGACUGAAACUCAAAGGAAUUGACGGGGGCCCGCACAAGCGGUGGAGCAUGUGGUUUAAUUCGAAGCAACGCGAAGAACCUUACCAGGUCUUGACAUCCUCUGACAACUCUAGAGAUAGAGCGUUCCCCUUCGGGGGACAGAGUGACAGGUGGUGCAUGGUUGUCGUCAGCUCGUGUCGUGAGAUGUUGGGUUAAGUCCCGCAACGAGCGCAACCCUUGAUCUUAGUUGCCAGCAUUUAGUUGGGCACUCUAAGGUGACUGCCGGUGACAAACCGGAGGAAGGUGGGGAUGACGUCAAAUCAUCAUGCCCCUUAUGACCUGGGCUACACACGUGCUACAAUGGAUGGUACAAAGGGCUGCAAGACCGCGAGGUCAAGCCAAUCCCAUAAAACCAUUCUCAGUUCGGAUUGUGGG